GCUAAACGCGAAGAACCUUACCUGGCCUUGACAUGUCUGGAAGUCUGCAGAGAUGCGGAUGUGCCUUCGGGAACCAGAACACAGGUGCUGCAUGGCUGUCGUCAGCUCGUGUCGUGAGAUGUUGGGUUAAGUCCCGCAACGAGCGCAACCCUUGUCCUUAGUUGCCAUCAUUCAGUUGGGAACUCUAAGGAGACCGCCGGUGACAAACCGGAGGAAGGUGGGGAUGACGUCAAGUCAUCAUGGCCUUUAUGGCCAGGGCUACACACGUGCUACAAUGGCAAGUACAGAGGGAAGCCAACCGGCGACGGGGAGCUAAUCCCAGAAAACUUGUCUUAGUCCGGAUUGGAGUCUGCAACUCGACUCCAUGAAGUUGGAAUCGCUAGUAAUCGCAGAUCAGCAUUGCUGCGGUGAAUACGUUCCCGGGUCUUGUACACACCG
rnacentral:rRNA from 1 species